rnacentral:rRNA from 1 species
CACGUAGGGCGCAAGCGUUGUCCGGAAUUAUUGGGCGUAAAGAGCUCGUAGGUGGUUUGUUACGUCUGCUGUGAAAACCUAGGGCUUAACCCUGGGCUUGCAGUGGAUACGGGCAGACUAGAGGUAGGUAGGGGAGAAUGGAAUUCCUGGUGUAGCGGUGAAAUGCGCAGAUAUCAGGAGGAACACCGGUGGCGAAGGCGGUUCUCUGGGCCUUACCUGACACUGAAGAGCGAAAGCGUGGGGAGCGAACAGG